rnacentral:rRNA from 1 species
AUUGAACGCUGGCGGCAUGCCUUACACAUGCAAGUCGAACGGCAGCACGGGUGCUUGCACCUGGUGGCGAGUGGCGAACGGGUGAGUAAUACAUCGGAACGUACCUUAUCGUGGGGGAUAACGCAGCGAAAGCUGUGCUAAUACCGCAUACGCCCUGAGGGGGAAAGCGGGGGAUCGAAAGACCUCGCGCGAUUAGAGCGGCCGAUGCCUGAUUAGCUUGUUGGUGGGGUAAAAGCCCACCAAGGCGACGAUCAGUAGCUGGUCUGAGAGGACGAUCAGCCACACUGGGACUGAGACACGGCCCAGACUCCUACGGGAGGCAGCAGUGGGGAAUUUUGGACAAUGGGGGCAACCCUGAUCCAGCAAUGCCGCGUGAGUGAAGAAGGCCUUCGGGUUGUAAAGCUCUUUUGUCAGGGAAGAAACACCGGCUCUAACACAGUCCGGGAAUGACGGUACCUGAAGAAUAAGCACCGGCUAACUACGUGCCAGCAGCCGCGGUAAAAC